rnacentral:rRNA from 1 species
GCAGCAGCCGCGGGAAUACAGAGGGUGCGAGCGUUAAUCGGAUUUACUGGGCGUAAAGCGUGCGUAGGCGGCUUUUUAAGUCGGAUGUGAAAUCCCUGAGCUUAACUUAGGAAUUGCAUUCGAUACUGGGAAGCUAGAGUAUGGGAGAGGAUGGUAGAAUUCCAGGUGUAGCGGUGAAAUGCGUAGAGAUCUGGAGGAAUACCGAUGGCGAAGGCAGCCAUCUGGCCUAAUACUGACGCUGAGGUACGAAAGCAUGGGGAGCAAACAGGAUUAGAUACCCCUGUAGUCCCUGUCUCUUAUAC